rnacentral:ncRNA from 1 species
GCGCGGGGACGACCCCGCGCCUUUUGCUUUUCCGGGGACGACCCC